UUUGCAAAUUGCAGAGUUCGAGUGUGUAGAAUGAAGUGUGAAACUAUCCUACAUAUUCUAAAUGACUUGAGCAAGUUUUUGAAUAAGUUAGAGAGUGAUUGGAAUGUUAAAAGCAUGAAAGUGCGCUGAUCUGGCGAAAUCAGCAGUUUUCUUCUUGGUGUACCGGUACAGCCAUUAUGGUGUACCGGUACACAAUGGGAAAACGUGGCAGCAUGGGUAGUUUGGUAAUUUCACAUUCCUAUCCUUAUCUCCUUGACCCAGCUUGACCCCUGGGGCAUCUUGGAAGGUAGUAGAGCUCAGAGAAGGGUUUCCUCACCUUCUCCACCUUCUCUCUCUAGAAUUUUUUUCUCUAUCUACCUAAAAGUCGCCGUUUUGCGUCGUUUUCGCGCCGCGCUCGUUGCUCGCUGGUUCGGAGACUCAAAAGAAGUCUUUGGAACGUGGGAGGGAGGAUUCCUAUUGAUUUUUCUAUGAUCUUGAUCUCAGAGAAGCUGAGUUGCUGCUUUGUGGAAAGGUCUUCGAGCUUCGUUGAGCUGAACUUGUACUCUUAGAAGCUGGUUUGGAAGCUGCUCUAACCAAGGCGAGAGGAUAUUUGACCUUUGGACCACCUUCGUUUGGCAUUGGAGGGUCUUCCGGAAGCUGAACAUGAGGGCUGAGGCCUAGUGGAGCUGAAUUUCGGACUUUUGGGGACUGAUUUGGAGCCUAGUACUAGAGCCAUCUACAGGAGAGGCUAGGGAUCGUGGCAAGGG